CCUACGGGAGGCAGCAGUGAGGAAUAUUGGUCAAUGGGCGGGAGCCUGAACCAGCCAAGUCGCGUGAGGGAAGACGGUCCUAUGGAUUGUAAACCUCUUUAGGCGGGGAGCAAUGCCGGGCACGCGUGCCCGGAGGGAGAGUACCCGCAGAAUAAGCAUCGGCUAACUCCGUGCCAGCAGCCGCGGUAAUACGGAGGAUGCGAGCGUUAUCCGGAUUUAUUGGGUUUAAAGGGUGCGUAGGUGGUUAAUUAAGUCAGCGGUGAAAGUUUGUGGCUCAACCAUAAAAUUGCCGUUGAAACUGGUUGACUUGAGUAUAUUUGAGGUAGGCGGAAUGCGUGGUGUAGCGGUGAAAUGCAUAGAUAUCACGCAGAACUCCGAUUGCGAAGGCAGCUUACUAAACUAUAACUGACACUGAAGCACGAAAGCGUGGGGAUCAAACAGGAUUAGAUACCCCUGUAGUC
rnacentral:rRNA from 1 species